GUGGGGAAUAUUGGACAAUGGGCGAAAGCCUGAUCCAGCCAUGCCGCGUGAGUGAAGAAGGCCUUAGGGUUGUAAAGCUCUUUCACCCGCGAAGAUGAUGACGGUAGCGGGAGAAGAAGCCCCGGCUAACUCCGUGCCAGCAGCCGCGGUAAUACGGAGGGGGCAAGCGUUGUUCGGAUUUACUGGGCGUAAAGGGCGCGUAGGCGGAACGUCAUGUCAGGGGUGAAAGGCCUGGGCUCAACCUGGGAACUGCCCUUGAAACUGGCGAUCUGGAGUCCGGGAGAGGAUGGCGGAAUUCCCAGUGUAGAGGUGAAAUUCGUAGAUAUUGGGAAGAACACCGGUGGCGAAGGCGGCCAUCUGGACCGGUACUGACGCUGAGGCGCGAAAGCGUGGGGAGCAAACAGG
rnacentral:rRNA from 1 species